UGAGGCUUAGAGGAUAAUUAACUUGUCUGCUUGCCUGGACACUCACUGCCUGAUUCCUAGAGCCUAAACUUUGAUCCAUGCAGUCUUUCCAACUCUCCAGGCACCUGUGGUCAGCAUCAUUACUCUGCCAAUUCCACAGGCGCAUCAUAAUUGGGUGCUUUCUUCGGAUCUAAAGGAAAUGGCCUUCACUGCAUGCUGGCAUGCCAACGAUGCCCUCUGAGGACAUGACAGCAGUGAAUUUGUCCCAAAGUUCUCUCUGAGAUGCCUCUUGUGUUCUGUCGCUUUCCAAGAUGCAGCCUGUUCAGGGCUGCUUCCAAAGAUACACAAAACCCAGCAAAGAUAAAUAGAGUGGGACGUGAAUUAUAAUGUCAUGCCCACUCACAACCUCUGUGCCCCGUUCCACAUAUAGAACUGAAUUCAUAAUGCCUUUCAAAAAUGAGGUAAUUGGGACUUCCAUGGUGGGGCAGUGGUUAAGAAUCCACCUGCCAAUGCAGGGGACACGGGUUCCAGCCCUGGUCCGGGAAGAUCCCACAUGCCGCGGAGCAAGUAAGCCCUUGCGGCACAACUACUGAGCCUGUGCUCUAGGGCCCGCAAGCCACAACUACUGAGCCCACAUGCCACAACUACUGAAGCCCACGCACCUAGAGCCCAUGCUCCACAACGAGAAGCCACUGUAAUGAGAAGCCCACGCACCGCAACAAAGAGUAGCCCCACUCACUGCAACUAGAGGAAGCCCGCGUGCAGCAACGAAGACCCAACACAGCCAAAAAAAAAUAAA